rnacentral:rRNA from 1 species
AUGCCGACAUUCUCUGUUGUUAAGACGGGGAGGGGAGAAAUCUUAGUUUUCGGGCUCUGGGGAUAGUACGCUUGCAAGAGUGAAACUUAAAGCGAAAUUGACGGAAGAUCACCACAAGGAGUGGAUUGUACUGCUUAAUUUGACUCAACACGGGAAAACUUACCAGGGCCAAGUCUCUCGUAGAUUGGCGACAUGAGAGGGGCAAGAGUGGUGCAUGGCCGUUGGAAAUUGAUGGGAA